rnacentral:lncRNA from 1 species
CAGAAAAGCAAAACCAGAGCAAACCAAACAUAGGUUAGAGCUAAUGAGAAGUACAGGAUGUCUGGUUUCAACUUUUAAAAGAUGACCACUAAAUUAGAUUGUAACUUCAGAGAGGAAGGAAAAUUAAGACUAUCGAUGAAUUCUUUGUCUUUAGCAGUGCCAAGAAAGCAGAGAAAAAAAGAAUCCGCAGAAGAGAAGAGACCUAGAGAAGUUGCUUAGUCCUCCCCCGCGGGAGGGCUGUACCUCAAAAAUGCCAUAUUGGAGGGACGUCCAGUUCUCCUAGGUUUCCAGGGAAACUCUCUACUCGGGAGGCUGAGGCAGAAGAAUCGCUUGAACCUGGGAGGCAGAGGUUGCAGUGAGCUGAGAUCUUGCCAUUGCGCUCCAGCCUGGGUGACAAAGUCCAAGUUGUGGAUAUGUCAUUGGUUUGUUACCCUCUUUAUUCACUGGUCUUCUCUGUCUCAUACCACAAUGGCAAACCCAGAGAGAUGGACCGACCUAGUUGGCCUGGUGAUCAGGUUGCUACUAAUGAAGAUCUGCCUGCCAAACCUGCCUUCCUCGAAAUAUCCCUUCAUGUGAAAGCAUUAUGAGAAAGGGUAAAUCUAAUUGUAUACUAUAAUAGUGGCAGUAGGUGAGUUUACGUCACACACGCUAGGAAACUGCUUUAAUCUUUCGACAUCUCUCUCUUUCCAAAUCAUGCACGCAUUCAUUCCAUCAUCAAACAUUUAUUGAAAAUCUACACACCAGACACUGUUCUAGGCCCUGGGGAUAAGAAGUAAUGAAAACAACUGUCCCCUAGGAGUCUGCACUCUAGUUGAGGGAGGUGCUGGCUAGCCUCUGUUUACCCUCCAGGUCCAUCUUUGCCCUUUUCUGUGCCCCAGGAGGCUAGCCCCGCACUCUACUGUGCCUUGUCCUCUGGGAGGGUGAUGGAAGGUAGGGAGAGUGGGAGAUCCCAGCGGGAGGUUGUAGUAUGGAAGCACUGGAGAGCUAGGCAUUUUCUCCCCGCCAACUCCUUCCAGGCUGCAGUUUUGGCAGUGGUUGUGUUCCUGCCCUCUAGCCACAGAUCCUGGGGGAUCCCCCUCUCCCAUAGCCACAGAUCUUGGCAGGUUCCUCUGACACCUCUCUUACCUCCCCACCCUUCUUGACCCUUUUUACUUAAUGAGAGGCAACCCAUGGCUGCUCAAUGCUGUCGGUUCUAUGUUGACUUAACUGUUCUUACCUCUUCUGUUACCCUUUGAGAAUGUCACUUCUUUUCUGCCAGGACCUUGACUGAUACAGAAAUACAGAAAAUAAACAAACAAAUGAGUUAU